rnacentral:rRNA from 1 species
GACGAACGCUGGCGGAGUGCUUCAUACAUGCAAGUCGAACGGGCACCAUGCAGUAGCAAUACUGCGGAAGUGCUAGUGGCGAACGGGUGAGUAACACGUGAGGAACCUGCCCCGAACUCUGGGAUAACAGGCGGAAACGCCUGCUAAUACCGGAUAGCACCAGCGGAUCGCAUGGUCUGCUGAUGAAAGUUUUUCGGUUCGGGAUGGUCUCGCGGCCUAUCAGCUAGUUGGUGGGGUAACGGCCUACCAA